AGACUGGGAUAUAUUUAAGAUGGCAUGACGUAAGACCGAAGAUGCCAAGUCAUUGUUAUCUGUACAUGCUUUACAGAGUGUGUUUAUCGCAACAAACUCUCUUCUGACUUCCAUGAGUCCUCCCCAUAGGCAGGUAACUAGGAGAGUAGCACGGGAGGAAAGAUCUCAGAGGGACACAACACCUUAUUAAGGCACAUUCGGCAUAGCAACCAAAACUCUCCUUAUACAAGCUGGAUUACAGCUCAUCUAGGUUGAAGCCUUCGAGCAUGGCUUCCACAGUCAGGUCCCUGCUCCUCCUGCUCGUCCUCGUCCACGCAGCCUUCGCUGCUCUACCUGAGACGAAGCCCAGCUACCCAUCCGUUCCGAACCCACCUGCUACCACGGACAUGCCCGGAGACCAACCCACUUCCUCUAAUCAUCAAAAGCGUUUAAAUAGCAUGGCCAGAAAACUGGUAGGUUCAGCGUCAGGGUGGUACGUUAGGACGACUAGGACUUCACUGUUUAAUUUGUAUUGCAUUGAAAAUAACCAUAUUAUAUCACAGAGGGAUGCAUCCGCUACACACCUCCCUAAUAUCUAGUCAGGAAAAUGUCAGGAAGUAUA
rnacentral:lncRNA from 1 species